UAGUGCAAUAUUAAAAGGGCAU
rnacentral:miRNA from 1 species